CAGGCUUAACACAUGCAAGUCGAACGGUAGCAGGAGAAAGCUUGCUUUCUUGCUGACGAGUGGCGGACGGGUGAGUAAUGCUUGGGAAUCUGGCUUAUGGAGGGGGAUAACGACGGGAAACUGUCGCCAAUACCGCGUAGUGUCGAGAGACGAAAGUGCGGGACCGCAAGGCCGCAUGCCAUAGGAUGAGCCCAAGUGGGAUUAGGUAGUUGGUGAGGUAAUGGCUCACCAAGCCUGCGAUCUCUAGCUGGUCUGAGAGGAUGGCCAGCCACACUGGAACUGAGACACGGUCCAGACUCCUACGGGAGGCAGCAGUGGGGAAUAUUGCGCAAUGGGGGGAACCCUGACGCAGCCAUGCCGCGCGAAUGAAGAAGGCCUUCGGGUUGUAAAGUUCUUUCGGUAUUGAGGAAGGGAUGUAUGCUAAUAGUAUACAUCAUUGACGUUAAAUACAGAAGAAGCACCGGCUAACUCCGUGCCAGCAGCCGCGGUAAUACGGAGGGUGCGAGCGUUAAUCGGAAUAACUGGGCGUAAAGGGCACGCAGGCGGUUAUUUAAGUGAGGUGUGAAAGCCCCGGGCUUAACCUGGGAAUUGCAUUUCAGACUGGGUAACUAGAGUACUUUAGGGAGGGGUAGAAUUCCACGUGUAGCGGUGAAAUGCGUAGAGAUGUGGAGGAAUACCGAAGGCGAAGGCAGCCCCUUGGGAAUGUACUGACGCUCAUGUGCGAAAGCGUGGGGAGCAAACAGGAUUAG
rnacentral:rRNA from 1 species